rnacentral:rRNA from 1 species
UACGUAGGGUGCGAGCGUUAUUCGGAAUUACUGGGCGUAAAGCGUGCGCAGGCGGUCUGUUAAGACCGAUGUGAAAUCCCCGGGCUUAACCUGGGAACUGCAUUGGUGACUGGCAGGCUUUGAGUGUGGAAGAGGGAGGUAGAAUUCCACGUGUAGCAGUGAAAUGCGUAGAGAUGUGGAGGAAUACCGAUGGCGAAGGCAGCCUCCUGGGACAACACUGACGCUCAUGAACGAAAGCGUGGGGAGCAAACAGG